rnacentral:rRNA from 1 species
UACGUAGGGAGCAAGCGUUGUCCGGAAUUACUGGGCGUAAAGCGCGUGUAGGUGGUGGGACAAGUCUGCUGUGAAAGCGCCUGGCUUAACCGGCGAGGUCGGCGGAAACUGUCGCACUCGAGGACGGUAGAGGGGGUGGAAUUCCCGGUGUAGUGGUGAAAUGCGUAGAGAUCGGGAGGAACACCUGUGGCGAAGGCGGCCCCCUGGGCCGGCCCUGACACUGAGACGCGGAAGGCGUGGGGAGCGAACGGG